GAACUCAAUUGACCAGGGACCGAGCUCCCACUGCUUACCUGAGUUGCCUUUAUUGCAGGUGUUUCUCAUUCCUGCUCUCAUCUCACACCAUCCCGCCCCCACCAACAUGGGAGAGCAGCAGUGUUCACCGAACUGCAGGGCCUUUCUAGACCUUCCUAGACCUUCCUUCUGGAAUCCCAAAUUGGGUCCAAGCUCUGUCCACCACUGGAGAUCAGACUCCCUGGACAAUAUACAGUGAACCUGCUGGGAAGGUCUGCCAGAAGCUGGCCAGCACAAUGACGGUUGCGCCUCCAAGGUAAGGACUCUUCCUGUG
ensembl:lncRNA